rnacentral:misc_RNA from 1 species
CGAAAUGCGAUCAGUAAUGUGAAUUGCAGAAUUCAGUGAAUCAUCGAAUCUUUGAACGCACAUUGCGCCCCCUGGUAUUCCGGGGGGAAUGCCUGUUCGAGCGUCAUUUCACCACUCAAGCCUCGCUUGGUAUUGGGCGACGCGGUCCGCCGCGCGCCUCAAAUCGACCGGCUGGGUCUUUCGUCCCCUCAGCGUUGUGGAAACUAUUCGCUAAAGGGUGCCGCGGGAGGCCACGCCGUAAAACAACCCCAUUUCUAAGGUUGACCUCGGAUCAGGUAGGGAUACCCGCUGAACUUAAGC